rnacentral:tRNA from 1 species
AAUAAAGUAAGCUAAUUAUAUUAAGCUAUUGGGCUCAUACCCCAAAUAUGAUUUAAAAUCCUUUAUUA